CGCAUGGUGGAACUAUUAAAGCAAUUUCGGUCAUCGAUGGGGAUGCGUUCCAUUAGGUUGUUGGCGGGGUAACGGCCCACCAAGCCUUCGAUGGAUAGGGGUUCUGAGAGGAAGGUCCCCCACAUUGGAACUGAGACACGGUCCAAACUCCUACGGGAGGCAGCAGUGAGGAAUAUUGGUCAAUGGACGAGAGUCUGAACCAGCCAAGUAGCGUGAAGGAUGACUGCCCUAUGGGUUGUAAACUUCUUUUAUACGGGAAUAAAGUGAGGCACGCGUGCCUUUUUGUAUGUACCGUAUGGAUAAGGAUCGGCUAACUCCGUGCCAGCAGCCGCGGUAAUACGGAGGAUCCGAGCGUUAUCCGGAUUUAUUGGGUUUAAAGGGAGCGUAGGCGGACGCUUAAGUCAGUUGUGAAAGUUUGCGGCUCAACCGUAAAAUUGCAGUUGAUACUGGGUGUCUUGAGUACAGUAGAGGCAGGCGGAAUUCGUGGUGUAGCGGUGACAAUGCUUAGAUAUCACGAAGAACUCCGAUUG
rnacentral:rRNA from 1 species